rnacentral:tRNA from 1 species
ACUUGACGAGCCAAGCGAAGGUGUGGGACUGCGGAUCCCAUGGUCUCGGGUUCGAUUCCUGCUGAGCU